GGUAAGCCAAAUGGCAAAUGAUUUAGGUAAAGUAGAAAAAUGGUUAGAGUUGUGGCAACUGACAUUUAAUGUGAAUAAGUGCAAGAUAAUGCAUCUUGGACGUAGAAAACCUAAGGGCAGAGUACAGAAUAUUUGAUAGAGUCCUAACCUCAACAUAUGAGGAAAGGGAUUUAGGGGUGAUUAUUUCUGAUGACUUAAAGGUAGGCAGACAAUGUAACAG